AUACGGAGGAUCCGAGCGUUAUCCGGAUUUAUUGGGUUUAAAGGGUGCGCAGGCGGCCAUUUAAGUCAGCGGUUAAAUCGUGGGGCUCAACCCCAUUCUGCCGUUGAUACUGGGUGGCUUGAUUGCGGUCGAGGUUGGCGGAAUUCGUUGUGUAGCGGUGAAAUACAUAGAUAUAACGAAGAACACCGAUUGCGUAAGCAGCUGACCAGACCGCAAAUGACGCUCAUGCACGAAAGUGCGGGGAGCGAACAGGGUUAGAUACCCAGGUAGUCCGCACAAAAAACGAUAAAUACUUGUUUGCGGCGAUAUGAUGUCGGUGUCAAAACGAAAGCGAUAAGUAUUCCACCUGGGGAGUUCGCCGGCAACGGUGAAACUCAAAUGAAUUGACGGAG
rnacentral:rRNA from 1 species